UCGGGCACGGUGUAGCGGUAACAUCGCUGACUCUCACUCAGCAGCCCGGGGUUCGCUCCCCGUAUCCGAG